rnacentral:rRNA from 1 species
UACGUAGGGUGCGAGCGUUGUCCGGAAUUAUUGGGCGUAAAGAGCUCGUAGGCGGUCUGUCGCGUCGAUCGUGAAAACUUGGGGCUUAACCCUGAGCUUGCGGUCGAUAAGGGCAUGACUGGAGUUCGGCAGGGGAGACUGGAAUUCCUGGUGUAGCGGUGAAAUGCGCAGAUAUCAGGAGGAACACCGGUGGCGAAGGCGGGUCUCUGGGCCGAUACUGACGCUGAGGAGCGAAAGCGUGGGGAGCGAACAGG